rnacentral:rRNA from 1 species
AUUGAACGCUGGUGGCAUGCUUUACACAUGCAAGUCGAACGGUAACAGGUUAAGCUGACGAGUGGCGAACGGGUGAGUAAUGCAUCGGAACGUGCCCGAUCGUGGGGGAUAACGCAGCGAAAGCUGCGCUAAUACCGCAUACGAUCUGAGGAUGAAAGCGGGGGACCGUAAGGCCUCGCGCGAUCGGAGCGGCCGAUGUCAGGUUAGGUAGUUGGUGGGGUAAAGGCCCACCAAGCCGACGAUCUGUAGCUGGUCUGAGAGGACGACCAGCCACACUGGGACUGAGACACGGCCCAGACUCCUACGGGAGGCAGCAGUGGGGAAUUUUGGACAAUGGGCGAAAGCCUGAUCCAGCAAUGCCGCGUGCAGGAAGAAGGCCUUCGGGUUGUAAACUGCUUUUGUACGGAGCGAAAAGGUCCUUUCUAAUACAAGGGGCUCAUGACGGUACCGUAAGAAUAAGCACCGGCUAACUACGUGCCAGCCGCCGCAGUAA